rnacentral:rRNA from 1 species
CAGCCGUAAACUAUGCGCGUUAGGUGUAUCGGUGACCACGAGUUACCGAGGUGCCGAAGGGAAACCGUGAAACGUGCCGCCUGGGAAGUACGGUCGCAAGGCUGAAACUUAAAGGAAUUGGCGGGGGAGCACCACAACAGGUGGAGCCUGCGGUUUAAUUGGACUCAACGCCGGACAACUCACCGGGACGACAGCAAUAUGUAGGCCAGGCUGAAGACCUUGCCUGAAUCGCUGAGAGGAGGUGCAUGGCGUAGACGUCU